rnacentral:rRNA from 1 species
GGUUAAGCGACUAAGCGUACACGGUGGAUGCCCUGGCAGUCAGAGGCGAUGAAGGACGUGCUAAUCUGCGAUAAGCGUCGGUAAGGUGAUAUGAACCGUUAUAACCGGCGAUUUCCGAAUGGGGAAACCCAGUGUGAUUCGUCACACUAUCAUUAACUGAAUCCAUAGGUUAAUGAGGCGAACCGGGGGAACUGAAACAUCUAAGUACCCCGAGGAAAAGAAAUCAACCGAGAUUCCCCCAGUAGCGGCGAGCGAACGGGGAGCAGCCCAGAGCCUGAAUCAGUGUGUGUGUUAGUGGAAGCGUCUGGAAAGGCGCGCGAUACAGGGUGACAGCCCCGUACACAAAAAUGCACAUACUGUGAGCUCGAUGAGUAGGGCGGGACACGUGGUAUCCUGUCUGAAUAUGGGGGGACCAUCCUCCAAGGCUAAAUACUCCUGACUGACCGAUAGUGAACCAGUACCGUGAGGGAAAGGCGAAAAGAACCCCGGCGAGGGGAGUGAAAAAGAACCUGAAACCGUGUACGUACAAGCAGUGGGAGCCUCUUUAUGGGGUGACUGCGUACCUUUUGUAUAAUGGGUCAGCGACUUAUAUUCUGUAGCAAGGUUAACCGAAUAGGGGAGCCGAAGGGAAACCGAGUCUUAACUGGGCGUUAAGUUGCAGGGUAUAGACCCGAAACCCGGUGAUCUAGCCAUGGGCAGGUUGAAGGUUGGGUAACACUAACUGGAGGACCGAACCGACUAAUGUUGAAAAAUUAGCGGAUGACUUGUGGCUGGGGGUGAAAGGCCAAUCAAACCGGGAGAUAGCUGGUUCUCCCCGAAAGCUAUUUAGGUAGCGCCUCGUGAAUUCAUCUCCGGGGGUAGAGCACUGUUUCGGCAAGGGGGUCAUCCCGACUUACCAACCCGAUGCAAACUGCGAAUACCGGAGAAUGUUAUCACGGGAGACACACGGCGGGUGCUAACGUCCGUCGUGAAGAGGGAAACAACCCAGACCGCCAGCUAAGGUCCCAAAGUCAUGGUUAAGUGGGAAACGAUGUGGGAAGGCCCAGACAGCCAGGAUGUUGGCUUAGAAGCAGCCAUCAUUUAAAGAAAGCGUAAUAGCUCACUGGUCGAGUCGGCCUGCGCGGAAGAUGUAACGGGGCUAAACCAUGCACCGAAGCUGCGGCAGCGACGCUUAUGCGUUGUUGGGUAGGGGAGCGUUCUGUAAGCCUGCGAAGGUGUACUGUGAGGUAUGCUGGAGGUAUCAGAAGUGCGAAUGCUGACAUAAGUAACGAUAAAGCGGGUGAAAAGCCCGCUCGCCGGAAGACCAAGGGUUCCUGUCCAACGUUAAUCGGGGCAGGGUGAGUCGACCCCUAAGGCGAGGCCGAAAGGCGUAGUCGAUGGGAAACAGGUUAAUAUUCCUGUACUUGGUGUUACUGCGAAGGGGGGACGGAGAAGGCUAUGUUGGCCGGGCGACGGUUGUCCCGGUUUAAGCGUGUAGGCUGGUUUUCCAGGCAAAUCCGGAAAAUCAAGGCUGAGGCGUGAUGACGAGGCACUACGGUGCUGAAGCAACAAAUGCCCUGCUUCCAGGAAAAGCCUCUAAGCAUCAGGUAACAUCAAAUCGUACCCCAAACCGACACAGGUGGUCAGGUAGAGAAUACCAAGGCGCUUGAGAGAACUCGGGUGAAGGAACUAGGCAAAAUGGUGCCGUAACUUCGGGAGAAGGCACGCUGAUACGUAGGUGAAGUCCCUUGCUCCGGAUGGAGCUGAAAUCAGUCGAAGAUACCAGCUGGCUGCAACUGUUUAUUAAAAACACAGCACUGUGCAAACACGAAAGUGGACGUAUACGGUGUGACGCCUGCCCGGUGCCGGAAGGUUAAUUGAUGGGGUUAGCGGUAACGCGAAGCUCUUGAUCGAAGCCCCGGUAAACGGCGGCCGUAACUAUAACGGUCCUAAGGUAGCGAAAUUCCUUGUCGGGUAAGUUCCGACCUGCACGAAUGGCGUAAUGAUGGCCAGGCUGUCUCCACCCGAGACUCAGUGAAAUUGAACUCGCUGUGAAGAUGCAGUGUACCCGCGGCAAGACGGAAAGACCCCGUGAACCUUUACUAUAGCUUGACACUGAACAUUGAGCCUUGAUGUGUAGGAUAGGUGGGAGGCUUUGAAGUGUGGACGCCAGUCUGCAUGGAGCCGACCUUGAAAUACCACCCUUUAAUGUUUGAUGUUCUAACGUUGGCCCCUAAUCGGGGUUGCGGACAGUGUCUGGUGGGUAGUUUGACUGGGGCGGUCUCCUCCUAAAGAGUAACGGAGGAGCACGAAGGUUGGCUAAUCCUGGUCGGACAUCAGGAGGUUAGUGCAAUGGCAUAAGCCAGCUUGACUGCGAGCGUGACGGCGCGAGCAGGUGCGAAAGCAGGUCAUAGUGAUCCGGUGGUUCUGAAUGGAAGGGCCAUCGCUCAACGGAUAAAAGGUACUCCGGGGAUAACAGGCUGAUACCGCCCAAGAGUUCAUAUCGACGGCGGUGUUUGGCACCUCGAUGUCGGCUCAUCACAUCCUGGGGCUGAAGUAGGUCCCAAGGGUAUGGCUGUUCGCCAUUUAAAGUGGUACGCGAGCUGGGUUUAGAACGUCGUGAGACAGUUCGGUCCCUAUCUGCCGUGGGCGCUGGAGAACUGAGGGGGGCUGCUCCUAGUACGAGAGGACCGGAGUGGACGCAUCACUGGUGUUCGGGUUGUCAUGCCAAUGGCACUGCCCGGUAGCUAAAUGCGGAAGAGAUAAGUGCUGAAAGCAUCUAAGCACGAAACUUGCCCCGAGAUGAGUUCUCCCUGACUCCCUGAGAGUCCUGAAGGAACGUUGAAGACGACGACGUUGAUAGGCCGGGUGUGUAAGCGCAGCGAUGCGUUGAGCUAACCGGUACUAAUGAACCGUGAGGCUUAACCUUAC